rnacentral:lncRNA from 10 species
UGCGGGUGCCGUGGUGGUUCAUUACAUAGUUCAGCAAUGGUGCUAUGAGAAGCUCAUACAUCAAAGAAAAGACAUGUGUAAGCACUUGGAUCAUAGCCCCAGAUGACACUCAGUCGAUAGAAAACAUUGACUGGCAUCCAUGUUGGUGAAACAACUUAGACAUGCAGCCUUUCCCAGAUGAGAUGGGUCCAACCACUUCUGAAUGCAAACGCACGAGCAACCUUAAGCAAGGACUGCCUAGCUCAUUCCCAUCUACCCACUCAACUAGGAGAGAUGACAAAUCAUCGUCUUAAGUCACCAAGUUUUGGCAUCAUUUGUUGAACAACAAUAAACCAGAAC